CUUAAGGAUAUUGAAUAAAAAUACAAGAAAGCUCUUGAAGGAGAUUCCUUUUAAAAAAAGUUUAUAGUUAUUUUUUUUCUCGUAUCACUGAAUAACUAGAGCCAUGAGGAAUUAUAUCAUGAUAAGAGGAGGUGGAAAAAAGUGAAUUGUCAAGAGAAGCAGCGGGAAGAGAAGCACAUAAAUGAAGCUUUGAGGCCAUGGAAAUUGUGUUCCUUCUCAAGAGUCUACCAAGUUGAAUCCAUAUAAUACAAUCAACUAAUGAUGAGAAUCAAAGGUUCUUAGCAAUGAAUUAAUUGGAGGAGCAGAGUUACCAGGAUUUCAAUACUUAAAGAUCUUUUUCAUCUUUAAGAUUUUUUUUCCACUCGUUUAACCAAAAAGAAGGAAAGGAAAUUUAGUUUUAUUUUAAAGCCUCUUGAGAUACACAGAAUUAACCCUUAACUUUGGCAGGUAUCAAUGGUGUGAAGAAAUGAAAGCUGCUGUGAAAGUGACGAAGAAAUAGUUAUAGAUGAGAUUUAUAAACUAAACUUGAUAAAAAAUUUAAAAACAAUUUCAAUAAUUUAACAGAAUCCAAGAGUUUCACAUGAACCGAGAAAAAAAAUAUCGACUGAUUCCUGACUAUGUUUUGAUUUUCACUUCAAAGAUGGCGCUUACCAAAAAAACGGUAAACAAAUGAAAAAUCGUUAUUUUGUCUGAUAAUGAAAUUAAAAAAAUUGAAUCAAUGUUCAUAUUUACUAAUAAUGUUCAGUUUCAACCAUUUGGAUUAUCUUUUUAUGAAGGUUUCCUUCAAUGGCAUUCAACUUGAUCUGUUAUUCCCUGAGACUGACUGUUUUUUUUUCUUCAUAUCGUCAACAUUUUUAUCCCGAAUCUCUAUAAUGGCCAUGGAAGGUUCAGAUAAUGAUGAUAAAUAAUGGUAACAAAACAAGAUAAAGGAAAACAGAAAAGAGAAUUCAUUUUCCAAUUUUGGUUUCUUUUUUGGCAACUUAUUACAUGUGCAUGCUGAAAGAUGUCAAUCCUUUUCCAGUCAUCUCUUUAUUAAUUGCCUUUUAUUACAAAUGGUAAUUCACAAGUCAAGGAUUUCAAUUUAAGGAUCACUUUCAAUGCUCUUCAAGGCAUUUGACGUUAUGACAACCACCUGUUUUCAUCCAUCGAUUGAAAUAUGCUAACCUUAAAUCAAUUUCCUUGAUUUAUUUUCAGCAAAUUUUCCGAAACCUGGAAAGUAGACUUAAAUGACUGGAUUGAGCUUCUAUGCAAAUGCAAUUCCUCAGUUUUUCAGGUGAAAUGGUGAAGGAAAGGUACAUUGGGAUACAAAAUAUUGGAACUAUCAAGUAGAUAGAAAUGAUGGAGAUAAUAGCGCUUCUCAUUGUA